CUCGGGGGUAGAGCACUGUUAUGGCUAGGGGGUCAUCGCGACUUACCAAACCAUUGCAAACUCCGAAUACCGAGACGGACUGUAUGGGAGACACACGGCGGGUGCUAACGUCCGUCGUGAAAAGGGAAACAACCCAGACCCACAGCUAAGGUCCCAAAUUUUGUGCUAAGUGGAAAACCAUGUGGAAAGGCACAGACAGCCAGGAGGUUGGCUUAGAAGCAGCCACCCUUUAAAGAAAGCGUAAUAGCUCACUGGUCGAGUCGGUCUGCGGGGAAGAUUUAACGGGGCUAAGCACAGAACCGAAGCUUGGGGUGCAUAACUUUGUUAUGCGCGGUAGAGGAGCGUUCCGUAAGCCGUUGAAGGUGGAUUGAGAAGUCUGCUGGAGGUAUCGGAAGUGCGAAUGCUGACAUGAGUAACGAUAAUGCGGGUGAAAAACCCGCACGCCGAAAGCCCAAGGUUUCCUUGCGCA
rnacentral:rRNA from 1 species